ensembl:snoRNA small nucleolar RNA, C/D box 127
UGGCAACAAUGAUGACAGAUGUUCUACCUGCACGUAAUGUUCCAUUACUGCGUGGAGACACUAGUCCCUCUAAACUGAUGUUGCCA